CUGCCGCUGGAAGAAUCGCUGUCGCAGCUCACGUACUGAGAGCCUCGAGCUCUCUCAUUCUGCUGUGGGGAAAGUCCCCGGAGGUGCAGAGAAUAUCCUCGUUCUGCAAUGGAAAGCUGCCGAUUCCAAGCGCAUCGGUCCAGGGACGUUGGGAUGGCGAAGGUCGAUUUGGAUGCGUUCUAAGUUCGCGUUAGCGGUCUCGUUUGCAUCCUCCGCUUCGUCCACUCUGCUGCUCAGCUGAAGCCUUGUCGCGUCGGUGAAGGCGGGAAUGCGCAAAGAUAUGAGCGCGUUUCUUGCUCGGCAUGACGGGGUAACGGCUGGGCAUCUUGUUGCUCAUAGUCAUAGUUAUGCGAUUGUAGACUUGCGCAAGCGGUCGUUAACUCAAUGGGGCUCACUCUCCAACGGCA
rnacentral:RNase_MRP_RNA from 19 species